UCUUUCAAUAGUGACCUUUGCUUAGGUUGAAUCAUUUCCUUUGGAAAUAAAAGAAAAUGCCUCCAUUGUUUUGGACGAGUUUUCUUCAUCGUUGAAAAAAUCUUGCAAAACAACUUUUCUCCCACUGGGAAGCCUGAAGCUUCCUCUCGAUUCGGUCUCCGCGGACCCGAGCAGACAACCGCAUCAUGCUGCGGGAGAACUCUUGAUUUACUGGGGACGUUUUCACGGAGGAGCUGAGGGCACCCUUGGACCUGCCCCCCCCCCCCCCCCACCCACCCCCAUUUCGCAGCUGGGAGCUGAGAUCCGGACGGCCUCCAAGUGCAGUGCUCGGGGCUGGGCGGAAGGUUAGUCGCCAAGCUGGGAAGGGGACCGGCCUCCCGCCACCUCCUCUAGUCCGACUUUGCCAGACGACGUGGCGUGGACAGUGAGCACCUCACCGGAACCGUCUCCGGUGCGGCCGGGGGGGGCCAGCUGGUGCGCCCACGAAACGCCGGGCACCUUGGCAUCAGCAGGUCCGGGGUCGGAUCCUGCCUCGGCCGGUGUCAGCUGUGAGGAUUCUGACACGUCCCUGAACCUCUCUGUGCCUCAGUUUCCUCCUCUGUAAAAUGGGGGGCUCACAGUGAGGACUGAGUGGGUUAAUUCACACAAGGCGCGUCAAGCAGCGGCUGAACGUGAGAGUGAGCGUCGUUCUUCUAGUCCCCGAGGGUUUUUGCACUGAGCGCUCUGGGAGGCUGUGUGCUGUGCCCGAGGGACCGGACCCUCUCACCCGGGCGACGGUGCUGCUGUCCCGUCAACAAAUUAGAAACCCAUCCCCGGCUCCCAGCUCCGCCCGGACGCGGCUGAAGCCUAGGUCUUUGGACACAGUGACCCUUCCCGGACAGCGGUGGCCCACAGUGGCUCGUGAGUGACCACUCUCAGGAAACUGAACUGAUACUCCGCACGACUUCUUGGGUGAGAAUGCCCUGCCCGGGGGGAGCGACCGGCUCAAAUGACGGAAAUUUCCGGCGCGCUGGCGGGCCGGGCCUCGGGGAAGUGGAGGCAGAGCCUGAGCGAGGGCCGGCCGGGCAGCCGGGCCCCGACUCCGUCCCUCCACCGACGACGCGGGGCGGCAGGUUGGAUUGAGUGCACUUGAGGCGCCCCAAUCCGGGUGUUUCCUUCUCUCAGGUGGGGCCCGGGGAUCUCCCCGGAGACUCAGCUCUUGCCCUGCACUCUUCCUACCUCCCUGAGGGAUCCCAAGGCCCCGGGCUGCAAGCCUGCAAGGCAGCCGGAAGAGGCCGAGGAGGAAGGGGACCCCGGAGGCCAGAGGACAUCCUGGGCGCAGAGCCAUGAAAAAGCUGGAGUGAGUUCAGGGAAGAGUGAUAAAGAAGGGAGUUCUGGAAGAAGCCAGAGGAAGGCUGCCUUGCUGAACUGACCAGGGUCACCUCGCCAGAGCGUCCGCGUUCGUGGGUCCCUCAGCUCUUCACAAACAGACCCCCACCGCUCCCUUUGUCACUCUGCAUCACGCGCGGCUGCUUUGGGGAUAUUGACUGAUUAUCCUCGGCUGGGGUCGUGGGGCUCCCUCCCACCACCGGGCCUUUGCACGUGCCUCUGGCUUUGCCAAGAGUGCCUUUCCUUUCACUCUGGGCCUCCGUGGAUUAAGCACAAGACCGGCCCUGCCCCCUUCUCCCGGAAACCUUCACAAGCCCCUCCUUGAGGUGGUGACGCGUCCCUCCUCUGGCUGUGGCAGUCUCUGUUCACCUCUGUCACACACUGUGGCGACCCGUGCUUGUGGGAACUGUACAGAGGGGGACUCUGGCUUUGUCUUAUUCAUCCUUGUAGCCCACGGCCUUUAUGUUGUGCAGGGCAAGGAACCCAACAACCAUGACUCAAUAAAUACCUAUUAAUGAAAUACAAAUAUCCAAGGAAUCAAUUUGCUACGUCACCUUCUCCGGGAAGACUUCUGUGAUCCUUCCAACCUGGGAGGCUUUUCCCCACACGGGCUUCCUUCCCAUUCUGUCUGUGCCUCCUUCUUCCCCCGACCCCUUUCUCCUUUUCUGUUCCACGGCAGGUAGCCGGGCACUUAGGAAGUGCUCAGUAAGCGGUCACUGAGUGACAGUUAGUGGAAAACUGAACUGAUUUUGUUUACAGCAGCGUGGAAAGAAUCUUUCUGGGA